AGUGAACGCUGGCGGUAGGCCUAACACAUGCAAGUCGAACGGCAGCACAGUAAGAGCUUGCUCUUACGGGUGGCGAGUGGCGGACGGGUGAGGAAUACAUCGGAAUCUACUUUUUCGUGGGGGAUAGCGUAGGGAAACUUACGCUAAUACCGCAUACGACCUACGGGUGAAAGCAGGGGAUCUUCGGACCUUGCGCGAUUGAAUGAGCCGAUGUCGGAUUAGCUAGUUGGCGGGGUAAAGGCCCACCAAGGCGACGAUCCGUAGCUGGUCUGAGAGGAUGAUCAGACACACUGGAACUGAGACACGGUACAGACUCCUACGGGAGGCAGCAGUGGGGAAUAUUGGACAAUGGGCGAAAGCCUGAUCCAGCCAUACCGCGUGGGUGAAGAAGGCCUUCGGGUUGUAAAGCCCUUUUGUUGGGAAAGAAAAGCAGCAGGUUAAUACCCCGCUGUUCUGACGGUACCCAAAGAAUAAGCACCGGCUAACUUCGUG
rnacentral:rRNA from 1 species